rnacentral:rRNA from 1 species
GAUGAACGCUAGCGACAGGCUUAACACAUGCAAGUCGAGGGGCAGCGGGGUGUGGCAACACACUGCCGGCGACCGGCGCACGGGUGAGUAACGCGUAUGCAACUUGCCUAUCAGAGGGGGAUAACCCGGCGAAAGUCGGACUAAUACCGCAUAAAACAGGGGUUCCGCAUGGGGAUAUUUGUUAAAGAUUCAUCGCUGAUAGAUAGGCAUGCGUUCCAUUAGGCAGUUGGCGGGGUAACGGCCCACCAAACCGACGAUGGAUAGGGGUUCUGAACGGAAGGACCCCCACAUUGGUACUGAGACACGGACCAAAGUCCUACGGGAGGCAGCAGUGAGGAAUAUUGGUCAAUGGCCGGGAGGCUGAACCAGCCAAGUCGCGUGAAGGAUGAAGGUUCUAUGGAUUGUAAACUUCUUUUGUGCGGGAAUAAAGUCGGGGAUGCGUCCCCGUUUGCAUGUACCGUACGAAUAAGCAUCGGCUAACUCCGUGCCAGCAGCCGCAGUAA